rfam:Xenorhabdus bovienii SS-2004 chromosome, complete genome
GAAUUUUUGAUUAACGCCUGCCACGGCAGGCCAUUGGGAAG